UACGUAGGGUGCAAGCGUUGUCCGGAAUUAUUGGGCGUAAAGAGCUCGUAGGCGGUUUGUCGCGUCUGCUGUGAAAAUCCAGGGCUUAACCCUGGACCUGCAGUGGGUACGGGCAGACUGGAGUGCGGUAGGGGAGAUCGGAAUUCCUGGUGUAGCGGUGAAAUGCGUAGAUAUCGGGAGGAACACCAGUGGCGAAGGCGGUUGCCUGGAGCUUUGCUGACGCUGAGGCGCGAAAGCGUGGGGAGCGAUCCGG
rnacentral:rRNA from 1 species